ensembl:snRNA U6 U6 spliceosomal RNA
GUGCUCAUAGUAGCAGCAAACGUGCCCAAAUGGAAAAGAUACAGAGAUAAGCAUGGUCCCUGUGCAGGGAUGAUGUGCAAACUCACACAGCAGUCCAUAUUUUC